rnacentral:rRNA from 1 species
AUUGAACGCUGGCGGAAUGCUUUACACAUGCAAGUCGAACGAUGAACCUUAGCUUGCUAAGGGGAUUAGUGGCGAACGGGUGAGUAAUGUAUCGGAACGUAUCCAAUAAUGGGGGAUAACUAGUCGAAAGAUUAGCUAAUACCGCAUACGUCCUACGGGAGAAAGCUAGGGCCCGUCGGGCCUGGCGUUAAUGGAGCGGCCGAUGUCUGAUUAGCUAGUUGGUGGGGUCAAGGCUCACCAAGGCGACGAUCAGUAGCUGGUCUGAGAGGAUGACCAGCCACACUGGAACUGAGACACGGUCCAGACUCCUACGGGAGGCAGCAGUGGGGAAUUUUGGACAAUGGGCGAAAGCCUGAUCCAGCCAUUCCGCGUGAGUGAAGAAGGCCUUCGGGUUGUAAAGCUCUUUCGCAAGGGAAGAAAACUUAAGCUCUAACAUAGCUUGAGGUUGACGGUACCUUGAUAAGAAGCACCGGCUAACUACGUGCCAGCCGCCGCAGUAA